CCUACGGGUGGCAGCAGUGGGGAAUAUUGGACAAUGGGGGCAACCCUGAUCCAGCCAUGCCGCGUGUGUGAAGAAGGCCCUCGGGUUGUAAAGCACUUUCAGUGAGGAAGAACGCCUGGUGGUUAAUACCCAUCAGGAAAGACAUCACUCACAGAAGAAGCACCGGCUAACUCCGUGCCAGCAGCCGCGGUAAUACGGAGGGUGCGAGCGUUAAUCGGAAUUACUGGGCGUAAAGCGCGCGUAGGUGGCUUGAUAAGCCGGUUGUGAAAGCCCCGGGCUCAACCGGGGAACGGCCUCCGGAACUGUCAAGCUAGAGUGCAGGAGAGGAAGGUAGAAUUCCAGGUGUAGCGGUGAAAUGCGUAGAGAUCGGGAGGAAUACCAGUGGCGAAGGCGGCCUUCUGGACUGACACUGACACUGAGGUGCGAAAGCGUGGGUAGCAAACAGGAUUAGAUACCCUAGUAGUC
rnacentral:rRNA from 1 species